GAGUAGGGAAGUCCGCGAUGAUCCGAGGCGAGAAAAGGCGAAGGUAGGGUGCCCGUACCGCAAACCGACACAGGUAGAUGAGGAGAGAAUCCUAAGGCCAACGGGAGAAGGGUUGUUAAGGAACUCGGCAAAAUGACCCCGUAACUUCGGGAUAAGGGGAGCCUGUCUAUGGCAGGCCGCAGAGAAUAGGCCCAAGCGACUGUUUACCAAAAACACAGGUCUAUGCUAAAUCGAAAGAUGACGUAUAUGGGCUGACGCCUGCCCGGUGCUGGAAGGUUAAGAGGAGAUGUCAGGCAACGAAGCAUCGAAUCGAAGCCCCAGUAAACGGCGGCCGUAACGAUAACGGUCCUAAGGUAGCGAAAUUCCUUGUCAGGUAAGUUCUGACCCGCACGAAUGGCGUAACGAUUUGGGCGCUGUCUCAACAGCCCACCCGGCGAAAUUGUUGUACUGGUGAAGAAGCCAGUUACCCGCAACUAGACGGAAAGACCCCAUGGAGCUUUACUGCAGCUUAAUACUGGAAUUCGGUAAUUCAUGUACAGGAUAGGUGGGAGACUGAGAACUAACGUCGUCAGGCGCUAGGGAGUCGCCCUUGGGAUACCACUCUUGAAUUGCUGGGUUUCUAACCUGCGGCCGUGAAUCCGGUCGGGGGACACUGUUAGGCAGACAGUUUGACUGGGGCGGUCGCCUCCUAAAAGGUAACGGAGGCGCUCAAAGGUUGGCUCAGCACGGACGGAAAUCGUGCAAUGAGUGUAAACGUAUAAGCCAGCCUAACUGCGAGAGUGACGACGCGAGCAGUAACGAAAGUUGGAGUUAGUGAUCCGGUGGUAUGUGAGUGGAAAUGCCAUCGCUCAACGGAUAAAAGCUACCCUGGGGAUAACAGGCUGAUCUCCCCCAAGCGUCCACAGCGACGGGGAGGUUUGGCACCUCGAUGUCGGCUCGUCACAUCCUGGGGCUGUACUCGGUCCCAAGGGUUCGGCUGUUCGCCGAUUAAAGUGGCACGCGAGCUGGGUUCAGAACGUCGUGAGACAGUUCGGUCCCUAUCUGUUGCGGGCGUAAGAGAUUUGAAGGGGGCUGUCCUUAGUACGAGAGGACCGGGAUGGACGCACCUCUGGUGCACCUGUUGUCGUGCCAACGGCAUAGCAGGGUAGCUACGUGCGGACGAGAUAAACGCUGAAAGCAUCUAAGCGUGAGACUUUCCCUAAGAUAAGAUCUCUCAUCCUUCAUGGAGUAAGGCACGAUGUAGACUAUAUCGUAGAUAGGCCGGAGGUGGAAGUGCAGUAAUGUAUGGAGCUGACCGGUACUAAUAAGCCGAGGGCUUGAUCAA
rnacentral:rRNA from 1 species